rnacentral:lncRNA from 1 species
CUCCUUCCUCUUCCUCUCCUUUCUUUUCUCCCAUUUCUCUUCAUCUAUUUCUCCUUCUUCAUAGUGGCUCCCCCCAUCUCCACCUAUUUCUCCAUCUCCUCCACUUCCUUCUCAUCUACUUCUCUUUAUCCUUCUCUUCCAAGUCACCCGUAAACCAUCCUCCUCCACGAUGGCCCCCUCCAGCUUCAUCUCUUCUUGUCUUUUCCCUCUUCUUCCUCCCCGGCCAUCUUUUUUUCCUUUUUGUCCUCCUCCAAUCCAUUCUUUGCCGGUAGCCCCUCUUCCCUCCUCCCCUUCCUCUUUAUCCACUUUUCUUCCUCAUCUUUUUCCUCCUCCAAACACACCCAUCCCUCUAUCCAUCUCUCUACUUCUUUUCUUUCCUCUUUA